rnacentral:rRNA from 1 species
UACGAAGGGUGCAAGCGUUAAUCGGAAUUACUGGGCGUAAAGCGUGCGUAGGCGGUUUGUUAAGUCUGUUGUGAAAUCCCCCGGGCUCAACCUGGGAAUGGCAAUGGAUACUGUCAAGCUCGAGUCCGGAAGAGGCGAGUGGAAUUCCUGGUGUAGCGGUGAAAUGCGUAGAUAUGCGGAGGAACACCGAUGGCGAAGGCAAUCCCCUGGGCCUGCACUGACGCUCAUGCACGAAAGCGUGGGGAGCAAACAGG